CCUACGGGUGGCAGCAGUGUGGAAUAUUGGUCAAUGGACGAGAGUCUGAACCAGCCAAGUAGCGUGAAGGAUGACUGCCCUAUGGGUUGUAAACUUCUUUUAUAUGGGAAUAAAAUGUUCCACGUGUGGGAUUUUGUAUGUACCAUAUGAAUAAGGAUCGGCUAACUCCGUGCCAGCAGCCGCGGUAAUACGGAGGAUCCGAGCGUUAUCCGGAUUUAUUGGGUUUAAAGGGAGCGUAGGUGGAUUGUUAAGUCAGUUGUGAAAGUUUGCGGCUCAACCGUAAAAUUGCAGUUGAAACUGGCAGUCUUGAGUACAGUAGAGGUGGGCGGAAUUCGUGGUGUAGCGGUGAAAUGCUUAGAUAUCACGAAGAACUCCGAUUGCGGAGGCAGUUCACUGGACUGCAACUGACACUGAGGCUCGAAAGUGUGGGUAUCAAACAGGAUUAGAUACCCCAGUAGUC
rnacentral:rRNA from 1 species